GGAUAAUGAAGGGAACCUUCCUGGAGCCUGUGGAAUGCUGUCUCUAGGGCUAAUAUCCACCCACCUUUAGAGCUGGCUUUUUUAAGAAGCCAGUAACAACAAAAGGGUGAUUUUCAAUUCCUGUGGCAGAAAUGCCAGCAAUAACUAUGUUCUGAACGGUAGUCUAGGAGGUCCCUGUGAUGGUCUCUUUACAUAUACUCCCUGUAAUCGAAUAGGAAGUCUCUAAUUCAAGGAAAUUCCAUCAUCCAUUACACACAUGAGUAGUUGAGAUUCAGUGAUAGAAUUUCCCCAAGGCGAUGCAGCUCAUAAAUGCACGAACGGGGAUACGAACUCAGUUUUGUCUGUUUGCUAAGCUUGCACUCAUUUCACUGUUCACAGUGCCCCAGAAAGGACAGUAUUGCCAAGCUCUGUUUCCUGGAAGCAGAAGACCCUGCAGGAUUGACCAAAUGAAUACGUUUGAUGCCGCGUGGUGAUCUCUUACCAAUACCUCUGCUUAAAGGUUUUGAAAGAAUCAAAAUCUGUCUAGCCCUCUGUAUACCCCAAUGCAUCCCCCAAACAAAGGGUUACAGUGUGACCAGAGAUUCAAGGACCUUUUCUUCUGGUGACGCUUUAUAGCUCAGAUAAGGAGAAAUUGUUUUCUGUGUGAGCACCGUAGAGAAAGGACCAAAGGUCCAGUCUCACCAGCAAGCUGCCAAAGUUUGGGCUCUGAGCCAGCAUCACAUAGAGCUCAUCGUCCAUCAUGGCGAGGUUAGCAGCUGUAGAGACCUGGGCUAAGGGAAAAGAAGCUGCCUAUCAGGAACUAUGAAGGAUCUGAGAUUUUACUCUCCUUGCCAGGAGACAGUGGAGCUUCAUGUGGCAAAGCAGCCCUUGAAAAGACUCCAAAUUAUACUGGAGGAGAAGAGUGGGAAAGCAUUAUGUGUCUUAAUAGCAGAUGAAGCAAGACUGGGAGAAGACUCUCAGCAUAUCAUUAUAAAAUUUGAGGCCUUCUGCUGCCUACAGCGGUCAACUGCUUAGUCCUCAGCCUCAUGGAAGUG
rnacentral:lncRNA from 1 species